UACGUAGGUGGCGAGCGUUGUCCGGAUUUACUGGGCGUAAAGAGCGCGCAGGCGGCUGGUCAAGUCCGCUGUGAAAGCUCCCGGCUUAACUGGGAAAUUGCAUCGGAAACUGAUCGGCUGGAAGGUGGGAGAGGGUAGCGGAAUUCCCGGUGUAGUGGUGAAAUGCGUAGAUAUCGGGAGGAACACCCGUAGCGAAGGCGGCCGACUGGACCACACCUGACGCUGAGGAGCGAAAGCGUGGGGAGCGAACAGG
rnacentral:rRNA from 1 species